rnacentral:rRNA from 1 species
CGGAGGAUCCAAGCGUUAUCCGGAAUCAUUGGGUUUAAAGGGUCCGUAGGCGGUUUAGUAAGUCAGUGGUGAAAGCCCAUCGCUCAACGGUGGAACGGCCAUUGAUACUGCUAAACUUGAAUUAUUAGGAAGUAACUAGAAUAUGUAGUGUAGCGGUGAAAUGCUUAGAGAUUACAUGGAAUACCAAUUGCGAAGGCAGGUUACUACUAAUGGAUUGACGCUGAUGGACGAAAGCGUGGGUAGCGAACAGGAUUAGAUACCCUGGUAGUCCACGCCGUAAACGAUGGAUACUAGCUGUUGGGGGCAACUUCAGUGGCUAAGCGAAAGUGAUAAGUAUCCCACCUGGGGAGUACGUUCGCAAGAAUG